UGGCGGACGGGUGAGUAACGCGUGGAAAACCUGCCGUAUACUGGGGGAUAACACUUAGAAAUAGGUGCUAAUACCGCAUAAGCGCACAGCUUCGCAUGAAGCGGUGUGAAAAACUCUAGUGGUAUACGAUGGUUCCGCGUCUGAUUAGCUAGUUGGUGGGGUAAUGGCCUACCAAGGCAACGAUCAGUAGCCGGCCUGAGAGGGUGAACGGCCACAUUGGGACUGAGACACGGCCCAAACUCCUACGGGAGGCAGCAG
rnacentral:rRNA from 1 species